rnacentral:rRNA from 1 species
UACAGAGGGUGCGAGCGUUGUUCGGAAUUAUUGGGCGUAAAGGGCGCGUAGGCGGUGCGGUAAGUCACCUGUGAAACCUCUGGGCUUAACUCAGAGCCUGCAGGCGAAACUACCGUGCUGGAGUGUGGGAGAGGUGCGUGGAAUUCCCGGUGUAGCGGUGAAAUGCGUAGAUAUCAGGAGGAACACCGGUGGCGAAGGCGGGUCUCUGGGCAGUAACUGACGCUGAGGAGCGAAAGCGUGGGGAGCGAACAGG